AUUAGUCCCAGUGGAAUGAGCGAGCCGAGUGUCCGUGUGGUUGAGUCUCUGAAACCGGUAGCACUUGUAGCAUGGCUGACCAACUGACUGAAGAGCAGAUUGCAGAAUUCAAAGAAGCUUUUUCACUACUUGACAAAGAUAGUGAUGGAACUAUAACAACAAAGGAAUUGGGAGCUGUACUGAGGUCCCUUGUACAGAAUCCCACAGAAGCAGAGUUACAGGACGUGAUUAAUGAAGUAGAUGCUGAUGGUAAUGGCACAAUUGACUUCCCUGAAUUUCUGACAAAGAUGGCAAGAAAAAUGAAAGACACAGACAGUGAAGAAGAAAUCAGAGAAGCAUUCCGUGUGUUUGAUAAGGUUGGCAAUGGCUAUAUUAGUGCUGCAGAACUUUCUCAUGUGAUGACAAACCUUGGAGAGAAGUUAACCGAUGAAGAAGUUGAUGAAAUGAUCAGGGAAGCAGAUAUUGAUGGCAAUGGUCAAGUAAACUAUAAAGAGUUUGUACAAAUGAUGAAAGCAAAGUGAAGACCUUGUACAAAUGUGUUAAAUUUCUUGUACAGAAUUGUUUAUUUGCCUUUUCCUUGAUUGUAACUUAUCUGUAAAAGGUUUCUCCCUACUGUAAAAAAAAAAUGCAUGUAUAGUAAUUAGGACUUCAUUCCUCCAUGUUUUCUUCCCUUAUCUUACUGUCAUUGUCCUGAAACUUUCUUUUAGAAAAUUGAUCAAGUAACACGUUACAUGUGGCUUACUCUGGAUAUAUCUAAACCCUUCUGCACAUCUAAACUUACAUGGAGUUGGUCAAAUGAGGGAACAUCUGAGUUAUGCCUUUUUUUAAAGUAGUCUUCUUUAGGAACUGUCAGCAUGUUGUUGUUGAAGUGUGGAGUUGUAACUCUGUGUGA